rnacentral:rRNA from 1 species
UACGGAGGGGGCUAGCGUUGUUCGGAAUUACUGGGCGUAAAGCGCACGUAGGCGGCUUUGUAAGUUAGAGGUGAAAGCCCAGAGCUCAACUCUGGAACUGCCUUUAAGACUGCAUCGCUUGAAUCAUGGAGAGGUUAGUGGAAUUCCGAGUGUAGAGGUGAAAUUCGUAGAUAUUCGGAAGAACACCAGUGGCGGAGGCGACUAACUGGACAUGUAUUGACGCUGAGGUGCGAAAGCGUGGGGAGCAAACAGG